rnacentral:rRNA from 1 species
UACGUAGGGGCAAGCGUUGUCCGGAAUCAUUGGGCGUAAAGCGCGCGUAGGCGGCCCGGUAAGUCCGCUGUAAAAGUCCAGGGCUCAACCCUGGAAAGCCGGUGGAUACUGUCGGGCUAGAGUCCGGAAGAGGCGGAGUGGAAUUCCUGGUGUAGGCGGUGGAAUGCGCAGAUAUCAGGAGGAACACCGAUGGCGAAGGCAGCUCGCUGGGACGGUAACUGACGCUGGAGGCGCGAAAGCGUGGGGAGCGAAACAGGAAUUAGAUACCCGGGG